rnacentral:ncRNA from 1 species
AAAAGUUUUAUUUUGGCUUUAGAUAUUAGUAUAUAGAUUUAUUAAAUGUGAAUUUUAGUGUUUUUUUAUAAAAAUUUAAAUAGUUUUUAUUAUUGUUUUAUUCGCAGUAUUAAAUAUUAAAAAUUAAUAAAAAUUAGAUUUAGAAAUUUAUUUAAAUGAUAACUAAAUUUGUGCCAGCAGUUGCGGUUAUUCAUGUAUCAUAACUAAUAUUGUUUAGUUUGUAGUUAAAAGUUAAUUGUAAUUAUAAUUGAAAAUUUAUAAGGUGAAAUUUUUAAAUUUAAAUAAUUUUAAUUUUUUAUUUUGAGGCUAUUAAAUUUAAUUUUAAACUAGGAUUAGAUACCCUAUUAUUAUAAAUGUAAAAUUUAAAACUUAAUUAUUAAUAGUUAUAGUCUUUAAAGUUAAAAAAUUUGGCGGUAUUUUAGUCUAUUUAGAGGAACCUGUCCUAUAAUUGAUAAUCCACGAUUUAUUUUACUUACUUUAAUUAGUUUGUAUAUCGUCGUAGAUUGAAUAUUUUAUGAGAAAAUAAAUAUUCAAGAUUCUAGAUUAAGAAAAAAAUCAGAUCAAGGUGCAGCUUAUAAGUAAGAAGAGAUGGGUUACAAUAAAAUAAUUUAUAUGGUUUAAUUAUUUAAAAUGAUUAUUAAAGUGGAUUUAAAAGUAAUGAAAUUGAAUUAAAUUUUAUGAUUUUAGCUCUAAAAUAUGCACAUAUCGCCCGUCGCUCUCAUUUAAAGUGAGAUAAGUCGUAACAAAGUAGAUGUACUGGAAAGUGUAUCUAGUCUGA